GCCGAAGUGGUGGAACUGGCAGACGCGUUGGACUCAAAAUCCAAAGCCUUUCGGGGCGUGCGGGUUCGAUUCCCGCCUUCGGCACCA
rnacentral:tRNA from 1 species